AUUGUAGUCUGCAACCCGACUACAUGAAGCUGGAAUCGCUAGUAAUCGCGGAUCAGAGUGCCGCGGUGAAUACGUUCCCGGGUCUUGUACACACCGCCCGUCACACCAUGGGAGCCGGUAACGCCCGAAGUCAGUGACCCAACCGAGAGGAGGGAGCUGCCGAAGGUGGAGCCGGUAACUGGGGUGAAGUCGUAACAAGGUAAC
rnacentral:rRNA from 1 species